rnacentral:rRNA from 1 species
UACGGAGGAUGCGAGCGUUAUCCGGAUUUAUUGGGUUUAAAGGGUGCGCAGGCGGCGUGUCAAGUCAGCGGUAAAAUGUCGGGGCUCAACCCCGGCCGGCCGUUGAAACUGGCGUGCUCGAGUUGGAGAGAAGUAUGCGGAAUUCGUGGUGUAGCGGUGAAAUGCAUAGAUAUCACGAAGAACCCCGAUUGCGAAGGCAGCAUACCGGCUCCACACUGACGCUGAGGCACGAAAGCGUGGGUAUCGAA